rnacentral:rRNA from 1 species
GACGAACGCUGGCGGCGUGCUUAACACAUGCAAGUCGAACGGAAAGGCCCUGCUUGCAGGGUGCUCGAGUGGCGAACGGGUGAGUAACACGUGGGUGAUCUGCCCCUUAUUUUGGGAUAAGCCUGGGAAACUGGGUCUAAUACUGGAUAGGACCAUGCUGUAGGUGGUGUGGUGGAAAGAUUAGUUUCGGUAAGGGAUGAGCUCGCGGCCUAUCAGCUUGUUGGUGGGGUAAUGGCCUACCAAGGCGUCGACGGGUAGCCGGCCUGAGAGGGUGGACGGCCACAUUGGGACUGAGAUACGGCCCAGACUCCUACGGAAGGCAGCAGUGGGGAAUAUUGCACAAUGGGCGCAAGCCUGAUGCAGCGACGCCGCGUGGGGGAUGACGGCCCUCGGGUUGUAAACUCCUUUCAGCCAUGACGAAGCCCUUGUGGUGACGGUAGUGGUAGAAGAAGCACCGGCUAACUACGUG